CCCAACGUGGGACUCGAUCCCGGCUCCCCAGGAUCACGCCCUGGGCUGAAGGAGAAUUCUUCUUUGAAGAACUUGUGGAAUUCUUCUUUGAAGAACUUUGAAUAACUUGUGGAUUACACUAGAAUUUUGGGAGGAGCCCUUUCUUCAAUUCCUGAUUUACUACUGGAGAGACAGGACAAUAUACAUCAGAUAACUUAUCUAUGAACCAUAGAAACAUUUGAAAAAGUAAUGCAGACAAUACACUGAAGAAUAAUUUGUCACAAGUAAUUUCAGGCAGUCAAAAAACUAGGAGAGUAUAUGAAUCAUUACCUAAGAACUGUGAGGGGCAGGCAUUUGAAUCUAGUCGGUGGCUAUUAUUGAACAAGGUGUUCAAUGAGAUACAAAUUUUAUGCCAAGAGAGGCAAGUCUACAGAACAAAUCACUCUGGUUUGUAUCCUGGCUUCUGAAUAUAGGACUAUUUCUGCUGUAGGUGUGUUAUUCAUUGCCAUGGUGCUUGUGACAAUGACAGAAAGAACCCAUGGAUGAAUACCAUCUGGUCCUGGUGAUUUACUGCACAGAGUUCCUCAAGUUGCUCCAUACCUUCUCCUCAGAGACUGAAGAAUCUCUGUCAGGGCCAUUCUCUGCUUUGCCAUAAAAUGUGUCCUUGGAACAGGAAUUUCCCCAUUGUCUUCUCCAAUAAAUACUGAU